GAGGGAGGAGGAAGAAGAAAAG
rnacentral:sRNA from 1 species